AAGUCGUAACAAGGUUUCCGUAGGUGAACCUGCGGAAGGAUCCUCGCAUCAACGCUUGUAUACCAACAUUCAAACUCAAUGUGAAAUGUAACGUCCCUAAUUGCAUUCGUCUCCUCUAAUUUAUUAGUUGAUUCGCGUGUCGUUAGACAAUACCCCCAGUUAAUUCUCUGGUGCUGCUAUUGGAAUUUAUUUCAGUGGUGGUGAUCAGGUUUUAGCGUUAAUCACCAAUUUUUAACCCUAUAAACUAAAUGUUUGUCUUAUCUUCUUCAGACUGAGAAAUUGAGAAUUUACUUCUUCUUUUAUCAGCUUUGUUACGAAAUAUUGAACAACUCUUAGCAAUGGAUAUCUUGGGUCAU
rnacentral:misc_RNA from 1 species